AAUGAACGUUGGCGGCGUGGAUUAGGCAUGCAAGUCGUGCGGAAAGGCCCCGCAAGGGGCACUCGAGCGGCGAAAGGGAGAGUAACGCGUGGAUUAUCUGCCCUGGGGAUCGGGAUAGCCGCGGGAAACUGCGGGUAAUACCGAAUGAUGUCUCCGGACCAAAGGUGUGAUUCCGCCCUAGGAGGAGUCCGCGUCCUAUUAGCUAGUUGGCGAGGUAACGGCUCACCAAGGCGACGAUGGGUACGGGGCGUUAGCGCGUGUCCCCGCUCACUGGGACUGAGACACUGCCCAGACACCUACGGGUGGCUGCAGUCGAGAAUCUUCGGCAAUGGGCGCAAGCCUGACCGAGCGACGCCGCGUGCGGGAUGAAGGCCCUCGGGUUGUAAACCGCUGUCAGUGGGGAGGAAAUCUUAGGGGGUUCUCCCCCUAAGUUGACCUAUCCGCAGAGGAAGCAUGGGCUAAGUUCGUGCCAGCCGCCGCGGGUAAU
rnacentral:rRNA from 1 species